GACGGGCCCGCACAAGCAGCGGAGCGUGUGGUUUAAUUCGAUGCUACACGAAGAACUUACCAGGGUUUGACAUGCAAGUGGUAGGAACCGAAAGGCGACCGACCCUUCGGGGAGCUUGCACAGGUGCUGCAUGGCUGUCGUCAGCUCGUGUCGUGAGAUGUUCGGUUAAGUCCGCUAACGAGCGCAACCCUCGCUGUGUGUUACAAGUGUCACACGGUACUGCCGGUCUUAAGCCGGAGGAAGGUGGGGAUGACGUCAAGUCAGCAUGGCCUUUAUGUCCUGGGCUACACACACGCUACAAUGGCCAACACAAUAGGUUGCUAAGCCGCGAGGUGGAGCCAAUCCUCAAAGUUGGUCUCAGUUCAGAUUGCAGGCUGCAACCCGCCUGCAUGAAGAUGGAGUUGCUAGUAACCGCAGGUCAGCUAUACUGCGGUGAAUACGUUCCCGGGGCUU
rnacentral:rRNA from 1 species